rnacentral:rRNA from 1 species
AUUGAACGCUGGCGGCAGGCCUAACACAUGCAAGUCGAGCGGAGCGGCGGACGGGCGAGUGAUGCCUAGGAAUCUGCCUGGCCGUGGGGGAUGACGUCCGGAAACGGGCGGUAAUACCGCCUCCUCUCCGAUGCACCUAGGCCGGAUUAGCUAGUUGGGGGGGUAAGGGCCUACCAAGGCGACGAUCCGUAGCUGGUCUGAGAGGAUGAUGAGUCACACUGGAACUGAGACACGGUCCAGACUCCUACGGGAGGCAGCAGUGGGGAAUAUUGGACAAUGGGCGCAAGCCUGAUCCAGCCAUGCCGCGUGUGUGAAGAAGGUCUUCGGGUUGUAAAGCACGUUAAGUUGGGAGGCGUUACCAACAGAAUAAGCACCGGCUAACUUCGUGCCAGCAGCCGCGGUAAUAC